GCAGGGAGAGACGGGACUUGAUGGAGCUCGAGGAGAUAAAGGACACCCAGGAAACCCAGGUAUCCCGGGUAUCAGAGGGGAGACGGGGCCUAAAGGACAGCGAGGACUGAGAGGAGAUCCGGGCGACUCGGGCGCUGAUAACACCACUCCGGGAGCCAAAGGAGAACCCGGGAACCCAGGUUUACCGGUAAGUAACAUCCCAGGGUGUCUCUGAGGCGGGGGGGGUGCAGUCGACUUUCACAGGUACAAAUAAAGUCUG